GUUGUAUAGUUAAGUAACUAAGCGUACAAGGUGGAUGCCUUGGCAAUCAGAGGCGAAGAAGGACGUGCUAAUCUGCGAAAAGCUUGGAUGAGUCGAUAAGAGGCGUUUAAUCCAAGAUAUCCGAAUGGGGAAACCCAGUAGAUGAAGAAUCUACUAUCAACAAGUGAAUUCAUAGCUUGUUGAGGCAAACCGGGAGAACUGAAACAUCUAAGUACCCCGAGGAAAAGAAAUCAACCGAGAUUUCGUCAGUAGCGGCGAGCGAAAGCGAAAGAGCCAGUAAGUGAUAGCAGUAUAGUGAGGAGAAUGUGUUGGGAAGCACAAUCAAAGAGGGUGAUAAUCCCGUAUCUAAAAACCAUAUUGUGGUACUAAGCUAACGAGAAGUAGGGCGGGACACGUGAUAUCCUGUUUGAAGAAGGGGGGACCAUCCUCCAAGGCUAAAUACUCCUGAUUGACCGAUAGUGAACCAGUACUGUGAAGGAAAGGCGAAAAGAACCCCGGUGAGGGGAGUGAAAUAGAACCUGAAACCUUGUACGUACAAGCAGUGGGAGCCCCAUCACUUAAUCCGAUUGGAAGGUGAUGAAAAGCAACCGCACUUAAACAAUGGUAAGAGGAGCGAAGCGAGUCAAACCACCCAAAAGAAGCAGUGGGAUUAAGUGAUGGGGUGACUGCGUACCUUUUGUAUAAUGGGUCAGCGACUUAUAUUUUGUAGCGAGGUUAACUGAAUAGGGGAGCCGAAGGGAAACCGAGUCUUAACUGGGCGAGUAGUUGCAAGGUAUAGACCCGAAACCCGGUGAUCUAGCCAUGGGCAGGUUGAAGGUUGGGUAACACUAACUGGAGGACCGAACCGACUAAUGUUGAAAAAUUAGCGGAUGACUUGUGGCUGGGGGUGAAAGGCCAAUCAAACCGGGAGAUAGCUGGUUCUCCCCGAAAUCUAUUUAGGUAGAGCCUUGAGGUGACACCUUUGGGGGUAGAGCACUGUUUCGGCUAGGGGGCCAUCCCGGCUUACCAACCCGAUGCAAACUACGAAUACCAAAGAGUGAUACUCAGGAGACACACGGCGGGUGCUAACGUCCGUCGUGGAGAGGGAAACAACCCAGACCGCCAGCUAAGGUCCCCAAGUCUAUAUUAAGUGGGAAACGAAGUGGGAAGGCUUAGACAGCUAGGAUGUUGGCUUAGAAGCAGCCAUCAUUUAAAGAAAGCGUAAUAGCUCACUAGUCGAGUCGGCCUGCGCGGAAGAUGUAACGGGGCUGAAAUAUAGCACCGAAGCUGCGGCAUCAGAAUUUAUUCUGUUGGGUAGGGGAGCGUUGUGUAAGCGGAAGAAGGUUCAUCGAGAGGUGGGCUGGACGUAUCACAAGUGCGAAUGCUGACAUAAGUAACGAUAAAACGGGUGAAAAACCCGUUCGCCGGAAGACCAAGGGUUCCUGUCCAACGUUAAUCGGGGCAGGGUGAGUCGGCUCCUAAGGCGAGGCUGAAAAGCGUAGUCGAUGGGAAACAGGUUAAUAUUCCUGUACUUGGUAAAGCUGCGAUGUGGGGACGGAGUAGGUUAGGUUAUCGCACUGUUGGAUAUGUGCGUUUAAGUUGGUAGGUGGGAAGUUUAGGCAAAUCCGGGCUUCCUUAACACAGAGAGAUGAUGACGAGGCUCUACGGAGCUGAAGUAACUGAUACCACACUUCCAGGAAAAGCCACUAAGCGAAAGGCUUUACUAAACCGUACUGAAAACCGACACAGGUGGUCAGGUAGAGAAUACUCAGGCGCUUGAGAGAACUCGGGUGAAGGAACUAGGCAAAAUAGCACCGUAACUUCGGGAGAAGGUGCGCCGGCGUAGAUUGUAAGGGCUAGCCCCUGAAGGUUGAACCGGUCGAAGAUACCAGCUGGCUGCAACUGUUUAUUAAAAACACAGCACUCUGCAAACACGAAAGUGGACGUAUAGGGUGUGAUGCCUGCCCGGUGCUGGAAGGUUAAUUGAUGGUGUAAUCGCAAGAGAAGCACCUGAUCGAAGCCCCAGUAAACGGCGGCCGUAACUAUAACGGUCCUAAGGUAGCGAAAUUCCUUGUCGGGUAAGUUCCGACCUGCACGAAUGGCAUAAUGAUGGCCAGGCUGUCUCCACCCGAGACUCAGUGAAAUUGAAAUCGCCGUGAAGAUGCGGUGUACCCGCGGCUAGACGGAAAGACCCCGUGAACCUUUACUAUAGCUUGACACUGAACAUUGAAUUUUGAUGUGUAGGAUAGGUGGGAGACUUAGAAGUAGUCACGCCAGUGAUUAUGGAGUCGACCUUGAAAUACCACCCUUUAACGUUUGAUGUUCUAACGAAGAUGACGAAACGUGGUCUCGGACAGUGUCUGGUGGGUAGUUUGACUGGGGCGGUCUCCUCCCAAAGCGUAACGGAGGAGCACGAAGGUUUGCUAAUCACGGUCGGACAUCGUGAGGUUAGUGCAAUGGUAUAAGCAAGCUUAACUGCGAGACAGACAAGUCGAGCAGGUACGAAAGUAGGUCAUAGUGAUCCGGUGGUUCUGAAUGGAAGGGCCAUCGCUCAACGGAUAAAAGGUACUCCGGGGAUAACAGGCUGAUACCGCCCAAGAGUUCAUAUCGACGGCGGUGUUUGGCACCUCGAUGUCGGCUCAUCACAUCCUGGGGCUGAAGUAGGUCCCAAGGGUAUGGCUGUUCGCCAUUUAAAGUGGUACGCGAGCUGGGUUUAGAACGUCGUGAGACAGUUCGGUCCCUAUCUGCCGUGGGCGUAGGAGAAUUGGUUGGGGCUGCUCCUAGUACGAGAGGACCGGAGUGGACGCACCACUGGUGUUCCGGUUGUGUCGCCAGACGCAUUGCCGGGUAGCUAAGUGCGGAAGAGAUAAGUGCUGAAAGCAUCUAAGCACGAAACUUGCCAAGAGAUGAGUUCUCCCAAUCUAAGAGAUUGUAAGGGUUGUUGUAGACUACGACGUAGAUAGGUCUGGUGUGUAAGUGUAGUGAUGCAUUGAGCUAACAGAUACUAAUUGCCCGAGAGGCUUAACUAUACAACGCUCAAG
rnacentral:rRNA from 1 species